AACUUUCAACAAUGGAUCUCUUGGUUCCGGCAUCGAUGAAGAACGCAGCGAAAUGCGAUAAGUAAUGUGAAAGUGCAGAAUUCCCGUUGAAUCAUCGAAUCUUUGAACGCACAUUGCGCCCCCUGGUAUUCCGGGGGGCAUGCCUGUCCGAGCGUCAUUGCAACCUUCAAGCGCG
rnacentral:rRNA from 1 species